rnacentral:lncRNA from 1 species
CCCCUUCUCCCUUCCUCCAGAGUCACCAUGUGAUCCCGGCAUGAGGAUGCCAAUGGAAGGCAGCCUAAAUAAGACUCAAGAUGAAGGUCCUCAUUCUACAACAAGUCCUUAUCACUCAGCUACAUGCAAGUAGUCGUCACUUCCCAGGAGACUGGCUCAGUUUCUUGUUGUAUCUGCUGGUGAGAAACCCCAAUGCAGGGAUUAGCAGACAAAGCGAGACACAAGUGAUAUGUUCAAGACUUGUCAAGAGCAUAUAAUUGACAGGAAAAGUGGCUCCUGGGAUGAGAGCCAGCCAGAUCCUCUGGGAGCAGUGCCAUUGGCCAGGCUGGCACACAGGAACACAUGCUCCAGUCUCUCUGGACUUGACAGCUGCUUCAGCCUUUGACAUGACCUUUUGGGAUCCUUACUAACCUGCUCCAGGCAGUUGUCUUCCAUGAAUUCUUAUGAUACGGAUUUCCACACAAGGCUCCUUAUCUUUCCAUGUAAAACAAGCAUUUUUUUACUAAAUAUUUACAAUAGCAGAGAUGAAUUAUUUACUCAGUUUACAGUUUCAUCUCUGAUUUUUCUGUAUGUUUAUCUGAAUGUUGGGUGUUUCCAGUUAAUAUAUCAAAGCCACAAAAUGGAGAAACUGGGUAAUUUGCACUGAGAUCUCUGCUGUCAAAAUGGGCCAUGAAAAUACUGUUUAGAUUUCAGACUGUUUAUGUCUGGGCUGAGGGGGAGAGGUGGGCAUACAGGAGCCUCAGGAAAACAGCUUGGGUUGUGGGCGGUGUGUGCACCUAUGUGAAAGGGAACUCCAGAGAUAGUUACGGUGGUUUAAAUGAGGAUGUCCCAUGUAGACUCUUUUAUUUGAACACUUGGUCCCGCGUUGGUGGAACUCUUUGGGAAGGAUUAGGAGGUGAGGUCUUGUUGGAGGAGACGAGUCACUGGAAGUGGGCUUAGAGGUUUCAAAAGCCCAUGCCAUUCCCAAUUAUCUUUCUCAGUCUUGUGACUGAUACUCAAUACGUAAGCUCUUAGUUACCGCUCCAGUACCAUGCUUCCAUGCUCCUUACCAUGGUAGUCCUGGACUCUAACCCUCUGCAACUGUGAGCCCCAAUAAACAUUUUCUUUUAUUAGUUGCCUUAGUCACGGUAACUCUUCCCAGCAAUAGAAAAGUAAUAGAGCAUUUGGGCGGUAAGUGGAGCAUGUAAGAAGCUGCUUGUAAUAUCACAUGAUGGCAGUUUCAUAUGGCUCAACUAAAUAACACAGAGGGAAAAACUGAGGAAGGUGCCAGAGUCAGCAGACACAAUACACUAUCUGGAUGGAUGGUCCUUCCCAUCCAGUAACUCUAGAACCAGUCAAGGGAUUUGACACAACAGUGGUAAAAAGCAGCUCAGAAAUAUUUAGAGGAUUUAAGAAAUACCGGGAGAACAAAUAUAUAAAUGAGUCGCAGGAGAUUCAUUUGCUACUAAAACUAAAAUCUGAAGUCUUGUGUCACCCGUGAUCCAAUGGCCUAGGACUUCGGGGAUGGAAGUAAAAUCAAGAAAGAGAAUAGCGCUGACAAUGCAGAUGAAGUGUCUUUGAGACCAAAAAUGCCCGUGAGGGUGUGCAACUGUGGCCAUACUGUUUAUUUGAACUAUAUAUUGAGAGUCCUUCACUCCAGUAGCAGGUACGACUGUGUGUGCUGGGUUCGGGAGACAGAACAGUGCAGAUAGAAGGGCUAGUAAAAGGUGACAAUAUAAAUCCGGGUCAGUGGCACUGGCAGACAUCUCCCUGAACUUUUCACACCCUGGUGAUCAGAGAGGAGGGUAGAGAGAAGGCCUUGGAAUGUUUUUAUAUCCUAGGAUCUGGUGCCCCACCUGACCCGAUUGACAGAUAUUGAUCAAAACUGCCAGUUAGAUGCUAACUCCUCGUUCCUGAUAAUUUAACUGGAGAGGACUUCAAACUGUGAGAACAAAGAGUGCAGACAGACAGCCCCAGACUGCUCAAAAUAUCUUCCCCAGGGUCCCUGCGUAGGUAGCAGGCUGCCCUUUCCAAGAAUGUGUUUAUCAAAAAGGCAACUGGAAACUUUGCUUUCCUGAGAACUCUGUUAACUCGCAACUUGAGAUAGCUGUGCAUUGCUUCUCUUUGGAGAUGGGAGGCUAACUAUUUAUAAUACCGGCUGGGACCAUCACCUCUCCUCUGAGGCCUAAAAGUUAAGACAUAUCCAUUUGCCCCUCCAUGUCAUGAGUGGCCUUGGAUAACUCCAAAUACUUCCUUGUAGGUGCAGGCUUCUUAUCCAGAAGAAGACACAGUCUGGGAACUCCUGGAAGCAACUGCUUGGAGUUCAUAUAUAUUCCUAAUGCUUUUAAGUGUCGUCCACCACCAGGAGGAAUUUGCUUGACUUUUACUGCAAAAGCAAGCAAGACACAAGAGGACAGCAAGCAUGAGUCCUCCGUCAUGGAAUUAUCUUCCAACUAAGGCUUCAAUUGGGUCCUUCAGUUUUCUAGUACAGGGGGGAGAAUGGAUCAUACAUCUAUCCAAGUAGGAAGGUCCAGCUCUGUUCUAACCCAGUGGAUAUCCUGCCACUUCAGAUUUAAAUUCUCAGCUGGGCUCAGUGUGCUAUUAUCAAGCCUGAGUAUACGAAUUAGCAACAGGAAGAAAACAAUCUGGAAAUUGAACCCAUCCAAAUCAGCACAGGCUCACCCUGCCCUUCUGGUGCAGCCCAAAGUAAGUUCACAUGCUGGUCGGGUUCCCAUAUGUGCACUUCCUUCUUUGAGAAAAAUCCUAAACCCUCCAGAAGUCUCUCAUCUCUGCCCACAGGCACUGUUGCAGAACCAUCCCCCACCCCCCCACACACACACCCUGCUGCCACAGCCAUCCUGCCUCAGGCCCUGGAUCUGAAGGGGCCUCACACACAGCUCAUCACCUCUGAAGCACCGUGAGCAAAGUAGCCAGGCGAGAACUCCCAGCAGCUAGCUGCGGGUGAGGAGACCAAGAGUGUGGAGUUGUGAAAGUGGGGCCUCAGAUAACAGGCAGGUCAGAGCCAGUGUCUUUCUGAGGAGAGGUCAGCCUAACUCUCAUUAAAACUGCAUCUUAAAAUAGGAAGGGCAUGUGGUGGUAGAGGAGGCUCCGUGAAGAGCUGGCAUUGCCCCAGUGUGCCCUGAAGUUCCAAAGUAUAAAGUAUGAAAACUCAACUUAUCCAAAUGAGGGUUCACACUGAAAACCUCAGCUCACCUCUGACUCGGAAUUAGUUACUUUUCUAAUGCUGUGAUAAAAUACCAUUAGCGUGAUGAUCUGUAGACAAAAGAGUGUAUUUGAGUUUAUGGUUCCAGUGGGAUUAGAGUGCAUGAUGGUGGAGCAGAGGCCUGGCAGCUGCAGCUGGAAACUGAGCGGUCACAUCUUCAACCAAAGCAGGAAGUAGAGUUGUGAACUAGAAAUGGUACAAGUCCUUCAGCUCUCAAAGCCCACCUCCGGCAAUAUCUUCUAGAUGGAUGGGGAAGGGGAGGGGGUCAUUUGAUUCAAACUAUCACACACCAUUGUCUCAUCUGAGAUGAUACUUUGUACUCCAGUCUAGGGACUGAGUAUCAUUGCAAGUUGUGGGUUUUGGAGUCAACCAAACAUGACCUUGAAGUCCAACCCUGUGGCUUCCAACAUAGACCUGACCAGUUUAUUUGAUUUCCCCAAGCCUGUUUCUAUACAUGCAUGUGGUGGUUUGAAUAAGAAUGGCUCCCGUAGACUCAGCAGUGGCACAUGAGGAGGUGUGGCCUUGCUGGAGUAGGUGUGGCAUUGUUGGAGGAAGUGUGUCACUGAGGUCUUACCUGCUCAAGCUACACUCAGGAUGACACACAAUCUCCUGCUGCCUGCACAUCAAGAUGAAGAAUUCUCAGCUCUGCCCUCAUGUCGCCAUCUCCUACCAUGAUGACAAUGGACCAAACCUCUGAAACUAGAAAAUGGGGGAUGGGGUGAAGCCGGAGUGGGAAAAUUAGUGGAUCCAUUUGAAAUAGAAGUUCCAUGAAGAGCAAAGAGACCGUGAAGGAACCUAUUCAAAAGAUACAGAAAACAAAAUACUGGAAUGGCUAAGGGCCAGCUUGACAGCAACAGCUCACAUCCCCCCUUCACAGGAGGACGGAGAGAAUGGGACAGACUUUGUCAUUGUCCACAGUGAGUCUCAAACUUCUGGAACAAUACCAGUUACUUCUGAGACCAAAAAAACUUUAUAGAUAUAUAAAAUUAAAUAGAAAUAUUUAAAGAGGCCAUAGAGGCAUAGCAUGGACAACACACAAAAUUUGAAGGAAAGCAAAAGCAACAAAAGAAAGUUGAUUAAGAUUCCUCAGGUCUUGAAAUCUGGAUCUGGAUCCAAAGGACAAAAAGAAUUACAGAGAUGAGAGCAAGAAAUACAACACAAAGCCAGAAGACACCAUUCAUCCAAGUUUAUGGAAAUGGCACCUUGAGAGUACAGAACUUUACAGCAGGACAUGGUGGCCCACAUGGGAAGCCAGUGCCAGCAGAUGGGGGUUUCUUUUACCAUAGAAAUGAGGAGAAUGGCAAUGUAUUAAGAUCCCAGAGAAACAGUUAGUAAUAACAAAUGCUCUCCAGGUAGUGUCCGAAUCUGCUGAGCAGCUCUGUCUUUAUCUACUGUCUCUAUCUCAUGGUUCAUUGUUCAUCUGGCUUCACUCUAAAUACACAUAGCUUUUCCAAAGGACUGAUGUGUGAUCUAAUGGCCUGUGGUCUCCAAAAGUGACAGUCUGGGAGGUGGCCACCUUUCAUUGUCCCCUGGCCCAGCAAUGUCUAGUGGUUCUACUCUGAGGAAAGUAAAAGGACAUUAAGGAGGUAGAUAGCAGAAGAUGAAAGGGGCAUUGAAGAAAGAGGCGUGGACAGCCUAGCAGAGGUGUGUCGAGCCUACACUGGGUGUGUGUGGACCUCGAAUACCUGUUUAUUUAUUUUAUGACCCCUCUUGGCUGCCUGUGUCAUAGAGCUUUGAGGACAUCUGUGCUCAGGAAUCUGUUUUGAAAGACUUCAUUCCAGGACAGAACUGCUGGAGAGAGGAUCACCAAUGAUCUUCACAAUUGCCUCACAUGAAGUUCACAGAUCAAGAGGAAACGGUGACAAGGUUGAGGAAGGGUCAUAGGUAGCAGGCACAGUGGUCCUAUGUGACACUUUGUACCUGUGUGAGAUGGGAGCCCAUAAGACAACAAUCUUCCCAAGCUCCUGAUGUUUGGAUUUUCCGUUAACUUUUAAGCCUCUCUAUCUAAGGAGCUCCCUUUAGGGAUUAAAAUUUUAUAUUUACAAGAAAAAAAAUGGAGGAGGAGAAAUCCUUGCUUGCAACUGCCUAGCAGGGAUAGAAGGGGUCGGAACUGAUGACACUUGAAGAUAUGGGAGGCAAGGAGGCGAUUUGGUUAGUGUGCCUACGAGGCCAUGUAUUAUUUCCUUCAGAUAGUCUUCCCCUCAUUCACAGCUGCUAGUGUCUCAUGUCAUAGGCACUUUUAAGGCCAAAACUGAGUGUUCUUGGUUACCCGGAUGUAGGAACUGGAAGCACUUACCAACACCCAUGAGGACAGAUAUGGAACUAAUGAGUUCAGUGCUAGCAAUGCCAUUCGGGUGAUACGACUUCCACACACAGCAUCAAGGGCCUAGAAGAACCCAUGAAUGACAUGGAGAGGAAUCGAUGGGCCAGGUCCUCCAAGAACCAGUCAGGAGGUGGAAUUCUCUCUUGAGACCUCUUCAUGCACGAUCAGACCUUGGAAAAAAGUGACCUCUUGUCAGGCCACAGCUCCAGCAAAUACCUGACCCCAAAAAGGCUUUGCUGCCUCAUACUCUCCACAAAACCAAGUGGCUCCAACUGGACACUUGGAAAGAAAACAGACUUGGAUAAUUGUGGUUAGACAAACAAUUUCAAGAUCAUUUGGCCUGUGUGUUUAGAAGGCUCAGGGGGCCUGAGGAAUGCGGUGAAUUUACAGGAAGAGGGACAAGAACACACAUUCCUCCAGAACGCCCAAUCACCAAGCUCUUGUUUAUUUUUUGGAACCAGUGAUGUCUGGAGAGAGGUCAUCCUUUCUGAGGUUGGAGAGUGAAGACAUGUUCUGAGGUUAUAGCCAGACAAGACAAAUGAGGGAUAGAAGGACAUCUAAUGUGGUUUCUAACAAAAGCUAGCUCCAGUUCAGAGGUGGGAACUGAGAACUGUCGGAGUCUACUGGAGGGCCUUGCAGGGACUCAACCCUGAGGGAGUGUAGACGGAUGCACACCUGAUGCUGGCAGUAAAGGAGCUGUGAUUUGGUGUUGCCUAAAGGUCUGCGUGGUGAAGAUGUACCAGAGGCCACCAAGGAAGGAAGGAAAGAACGAACGAAUGAAUGAACAAACGAAGGAGAGAAGGAAAAAAGAGAGAGGGGGAAGGAAGGAAUAAAGGAGAAAUGAAGGGAAAGACAGAGGGAAGAAGGAAGCAGGGAAGGAAGGGAGGAAGGAAGGAGGGAGAAAGGCAAGGAAGGAAGGAGGGAAAUAAGGAAAAAGUUGAUAAAAUGUCAUGUGGAAAACACAGCAUCUAUAACAGAACAGUCAUCCUUAUUCUGUGUCAAAAAAAAAAGAUGAAAACUUAGAAAAACAAAAUUUCAUCAGCAUUAGACUAUAAUCUAUUAGCAAGCAGUAGGCGCAUCUCUCAUUAGCAGUUUCUAAGUCAGCAGUGUACUACCUGAAGGUUUAGGACAAACAAUCCAUGGGCUGGUAGAGUAGGUUGGCUUUACAGUCAUGGAAAGCAGAAACAAAGAAUAAAGUGUUUGGUUGGUAUUUGUUUCUCUUCCUGUUGAGAAAAACAACUUAAAGGAUAAAGGGUCAAUUUUAACUCAUAGUUUAAGGCACAAUCCAUCAUGGUGGAAAAAC